rnacentral:rRNA from 1 species
GACAGAGGGUGCAAACGUUGUUCGGAAUUACUGGGCGUAAAGCGCGUGUAGGCUGCUUGGAAAGUCGGAUGUGAAAGCCCUGGGCUUAACCCAGGAAGUGCAUUCGAAACUUCCAAGCUCGAGUCCUGGAGAGGGUGGGCGGAAUUCUCGGUGUAGAGGUGAAAUUCGUAGAUAUCGAGAGGAACACCGGUGGCGAAGGCGGCUACCUGGACAGUGACUGACGCUGAGACGCGAAAGCGUGGGGAGCAAACAGG